rnacentral:rRNA from 1 species
UAGGGAAUCUUCCGCAAUGGACGCAAGUCUGACGGAGCAACGCCGCGUGAGUGAAGAAGGAUUUCGGUUCGUAAAACUCUGUUGUUAGAGAAGAACAGCGCAUAGAGUAACUGUUAUGCGUGUGACGGUAUCUAACCAGAAAGCCACGGCUAACUACGUGCCAGCAGCCGCGGUAAUACGUAGGUGGCAAGCGUUGUCCGGAUUUAUUGGGCGUAAAGCGAGCGCAGGCGGUCAAUUAAGUCUGAUGUGAAAGCCCCCGGCUCAACCGGGGAGGGUCAUUGGAAACUGGUUGACUUGAGUGCAGAAGAGGAGAGUGGAAUUCCAUGUGUAGCGAUGAAAUGCGUAGAUAUAUGGAGGAACACCAGUGGCGAAGGCGACUCUCUGGUCUGUAACUGACGCUGAGGCUCGAAAGCGUGGGUAGCAAACAGG